rnacentral:tRNA from 1 species
GCCUGGCUGGCUCAGUCGGUAGAGCAUGUGAUGCUUGAUCUCAGGAUUGUGAGUUCAAAUCCCACGUUGGGUA